rnacentral:rRNA from 1 species
GUGACGAUAGCCUAGGAGAUACACCUGUACCCAUGCCGAACACAGCAGUUAAGCCCUAGAACGCCUGAAGUAGUUGGGGGUUGCCCCCUGUUAGAUACGGUAGUCGCUUAGC